AUUGAACGCUGGCGGCAUGCUUUACACAUGCAAGUCGAACGGUAACAGGCCGCAAGGUGCUGACGAGUGGCGAACGGGUGAGUAAUGCAUCGGAACGUGCCCAGUCGUGGGGGAUAACGCAGCGAAAGCUGUGCUAAUACCGCAUACGAUCUAUGGAUGAAAGCGGGGGACCGUAAGGCCUCGCGCGAUUGGAGCGGCCGAUGUCAGAUUAGGUAGUUGGUGGGGUAAAGGCCUACCAAGCCGACGAUCUGUAGCGGGUCUGAGAGGACGACCAGCCACAAUGGGACUGAGACACGGCCCAGACUCCUACGGGAGGCAGCAGGGGGGAAUUUUGGACAAUGGGCGCAAGCCUGAUCCAGCAAUGCCGCGUGCAGGAGGAAGGCCUUCGGGUUGUAAACUGCUUUUGUACGGAACGAUACGGUCCGGGUUAAUACCCUGGGCUAAUGACGGUACCGUAAGAAUAAGCACCGGCUAACUACGUGCCAGCCGCCGCAGUAAGAC
rnacentral:rRNA from 1 species